rnacentral:rRNA from 1 species
CUGGGUUUGACAUCCCCUGGAACCGGCGAAGAGAUACGCCUUCCCUUGUGGCNGGUGCACAGGUGGUGCAUGGCUGUCGUCAGCUCGUGUCGUGAGAUGUUGGGUUAAGUCCCGCAACGAGCGCAACCCUUGUCCCAUGUUGCCAGCGGGUAAUGCCGGGGACUCAUGGGAGACUGCCGGGGUCAACUCGGAGGAAGGUGGGGACGACGUCAAGUCAUCAUGCCCCUUAUGNCCAGGGCUUCACACAUGCUACAAUGGCCAGUACAGAGGGGUUGCGAGACCGUGAGGUGGAGCGAAUCCCUUAAAGCCGGUCUCAGUUCGGAUCGUAGUCUGCAACUCGACCUUCGUGAAGUCGGAGUCGCUAGUAAUCGCAGUCAGCACC